GAUGAAGAACGUAGCGAAAUGCGAUAAGUAAUGCGAAUUGCAGAAUUCCGUGAGUCAUCGAAUCUUUGAACGCACAUUGUGCCCUUUGGCAUUCCGAAGGGCAUGCCUGUUCGAGCGUCAUUUAUCAACCCUCAAGCCCGGCUUGCGGUUGGGUCCCGCCGUGGGCGACCACGGCGGACCCGAAAGGUAAUGGCGGUGCCCGUGGGGCCCUGGACGCAGCGAGCUUCUCGGCACGCGUCCCGGCGGUCCCCGGCGCCGUCUCCACCAAUCCACCACGCAGAUUGACCUCGGAUCAGGUAGGGAUACCCGCUGAACUUAAGCAUAUCAAUAAGCGGAGGA
rnacentral:misc_RNA from 1 species